rfam:Chloroflexi bacterium RBG_16_63_12 RBG_16_scaffold_29942, whole genome shotgun sequence.
GCCAGGUGGGUAGUUUGACUGGGGCGGUCGCCUCCCAAAAGGUAACGGAGGCGCCCAAAGGUUCCCUCAGGCUGAAUGGAAACCAGCCGCAGAGUGUAAAGGCACAAGGGAGCUUGACUGCAAGGCCAAUGCGCCGAGCAGAGACGAAAGUCGGGCUUAGUGAUCCCACGGUUCAGUGUGGAAUGGCCGUGGCUUAUCAGACAAAAGCUACCCCGGGGAUAACAGGCUGGUGAGGUCCAAGAGUUCACAUCGACGACCUCGCUCGGCACCUCGAUGUCGGCUCAUCGCAUCCUGGGGCUGGAUAAGGUCCCAAGGGUUGGGCUGUUCGCCCAUUAAAGCGGUACGUGAGCUGGGUUCAGACCGUCGUGAGACAGGUCGGUCUCUAUCCGCUGUGGGCGCAGGAGAUUUGAGGAAGGCUGUCCCUAGUACGAGAGGACCGGGAUGGACGGACCGCUGGUGUGUCAGUUGUCGUGCCAACGGCAUCGCUGAGUAGCUACGUCCGGUCGAGAUAACCGCUGAAUGCAUCUAAGUGGGAAACUCGUUCCAAGAUUAGAUCUCCCAUCGCGUCAAGCGAGUAAGGCCGCAGGUAGACCACCUGCUACUAUAGGCGUCGCGUGUAAGCGCUGCAAGGCGCGAGCGUAGACGUACUAAUGGCCGAGGGCUUAGUCCAU